UGGGGAAUAUUGGGCAAUGGGGGAAACCCUGACCCAGCAACGCCGCGUGAGGGAAGAAGGUCUUCGGAUUGUAAACCUUUGUCCUAUGGGACGAAAGAAAUGACGGUACCAUAGGAGGAAGCUCCGGCUAACUACGUGCCAGCAGCCGCGGUAAUACGUAGGGAGCAAGCGUUGUCCGGAAUUACUGGGCGUAAAGGGUGCGUAGGUGGUCAAGUAAGUCAGAUGUGAAAGACCGGGGCUCAACCCCGGGGUUGCAUUUGAAACUGUUUGACUUGAGUACAGGAGAGGGAAGUGGAAUUCCUAGUGUAGCGGUGAAAUGCGUAGAUAUUAGGAGGAACACCAGUGGCGAAGGCGACUUUCUGGACUGUAACUGACACUGAGGCACGAAAGCGUGGGGAGCAAACAGGAUUAGAUACCC
rnacentral:rRNA from 1 species